AUGCUUAUUACAGAAGAAAAAAUAUCUAUUGCUGUUCCAGAAGAAAUCCCAUCACCUGAAGAACCAAUAGUUGAAGAAUGGUCUGAAGAAGAAACAGAGGAAGUAUCUGUUUCCAUUCACAGAGAGGAGGUUUCUGAAGUGACUGAAGAAGAGUCUUAUUACAUAGAAGAGAAGGUAACUGUGCCUAAAAGAAAGGAAGCCCCACCUGCUAAAGUGCCUGAGAAGCCUAGGAGAGUUGCCCCUGAACCAGAAAUUCCAGCUGCUCUGAAGGAAGCUCCAGCAGCUAAAGUGCCUGAAGUUCAUAAAAAAGUAACUCCAAAAGAGAAAGUACCUGUCCCUGUUCCUAAGAAGGUGGAGGCUCCACCAUCAAGAGAACGUCCAGAAGAAGUGCCCACUUUUGAGAUAGCUGUUGAAGAACCACCAUCAACCAAAGUGACUCAAGUGCACAGAAAAAUUAUCACAGAAGAAAAGGUUGCGGUCGCUAAAAAAGAUGAGGCUCCACCCAAAAGAGGUAUAUAA
rnacentral:lncRNA from 1 species